rnacentral:rRNA from 1 species
UACGUAGGGUGCAAGCGUUGUCCGGAAUCAUUGGGCGUAAAGAGCGUGUAGGCGGCUCGAUCAGUCCGCUGUAAAAGUCCAGGGCUCAACCCUGGGAUGCCGGUGGAUACUGUCGAGCUAGAGUCCGGAAGAGGCGAGUGGAAUUCCUGGUGUAGCGGUGAAAUGCGCAGAUAUCAGGAGGAACACCAACGGCGAAGGCAGCUCUCUGGGACGUAACUGACGCUGAGACGCGAAAGCGUGGGGAGCAAACAGG